AUUGAACGCUGGCGGCAUGCUUUACACAUGCAAGUCGAACGGUAACAGGUUAAGCUGACGAGUGGCGAACGGGUGAGUAAUGCAUCGGAACGUGCCCGAUCGUGGGGGAUAACGCAGCGAAAGCUGCGCUAAUACCGCAUACGAUCUGAGGAUGAAAGCGGGGGACCGUAAGGCCUCGCGCGAUCGGAGCGGCCGAUGUCAGAUUAGGUAGUUGGUGGGGUAAAGGCUCACCAAGCCAACGAUCUGUAGCUGGUCUGAGAGGACGACCAGCCACACUGGGACUGAGACACGGCCCAGACUCCUACGGGAGGCAGCAGUGGGGAAUUUUGGACAAUGGGCGAAAGCCUGAUCCAGCCAUGCCGCGUGCAGGAUGAAGGCCUUCGGGUUGUAAACUGCUUUUGUACGGAACGAAAAGGUUUGGCCUAAUAAGCUGAGCUCAUGACGGAACCGUAAGAAUAAGCACCGGCUAACUACGUGCCAGCCGCCGCGGUAA
rnacentral:rRNA from 1 species